CAGACCGCACUUUCCCAUCAAGAACCUUCCAUGGAGUUCUAUGGGAUAUCACACAGAUGGGCAAGAUGGCAGUGGGUUUAAAUACUUUCUGCUUUAAGCUGCUGGAGAAGACAAAACGACAUGGUUUGUCACCCACUGCUGAAGUCAGUGCACAGUGCGACCGUCCGACAUGCCUGCAGUGUUUCCUGCAGCUCACAGGAGGCAGCACCUGCAUGUCUUCUCAGAGCACUGGCACCAAGGGACAAAGGACAGGAGGUCUUUUUACAGAUGUGUUUAUUUUUGUUUAUGUAUAUGAGUGUUUGUCUGCUUGUACGUAUAUGGAUCAUCUGUGUGCCUGGUGCCCGCGGAGGCCAGAAGAGAGCAUCCUUGGAGCUGGAGUUACCGGGGCUCUUGAAGGACUGGUAUUUGCCAUCUUACUUUUGGGACAGUCAUCUCCAUAUUCCCGGAAUACCUCUAGCAAGAGAAGAACCUGCAGAGCCACACAGAGACACCAGAGGGCAGCAGAGCCUCUAAACUGAAAAAAAGAAACGGACAGGCCUCUGGCUGGGAUGUGAACUGGACAAACCACAGAAAGAGAGACGUUCGAAAGGGCUUCAAGGAACCAGAGAAUGGCCUCUGUGCUGACCUGUAAAGAUUUUCAAUUAGUACAAGAUCGCUGAAGAAAACUCUCAGCCAGAACGUUCUAGAGUUACUUUCAUAGCUACCGAAAAAGCAACACCCAACAUGACAGCAAACAAUCUAACAGAC
ensembl:antisense 1700109G14Rik RIKEN cDNA 1700109G14 gene